AUUUUUGGCUUUUCUGUAUUGGUGUGCGGGGCUGCUACGUGCUCGGCUUAGAGAAUUAGAAGGGUCCGUCUCUUUUUGCCCACUGGAGUCUGGCACUUGGGGCACUGCCUCCCUGUUGGUGGUGGUGGUGAUGGAGCUGUAGGAGGGAGGCUAGCAGUGGGAGCUUCUCCUGCUGGGCUGGAAGACAAGCAGAAGGAAGAGGCACCACCGCAUGCUGGAGGCUGGAGCCACGGCGGCUUGCCUCGCUGCGGUUGGUGGUGACAUCGGAGACCGCAGCUACGGUAAUACAAAGCCGUGUCCUCGGCUCUGAGGCUGUUCGUUUGCAGAUACAGUGAGUUUUUUGCAUUGUGUCUGGAGGUGGUGAAUCGGCCCUUCACAGAAUCUGCGUAGUAUAUGGUACCACCACUGCUAAUAACUGAGACCCACUCCAGCCCCUUCCCUGGAGCCUGGCGGACCCAAUCCAUGGUAUAGCUACUAAAGGUGAAUCCAGUGGCCUCACAGGAGAGUCUCAGGAACGCCCCCAGGCUGUACCAAGCCUCCCCCAGACUCGACCAGUUGCACCUCAAACUGGACACUUGCAAAUAAAGAGACAUCCUGGUUAGAAAUUGCCACACAUAUUCACUGUUUCUCUCACUUAUAUCCACUCACACUCUAACUCCCUAGUUUUCCAUGAAUCACCUUCUAAAAUAGCAACAAGGAAAACUCAGCUCAGCCCGAACUCCAUGGUGAGUCCUCUGUGUUCGGUGCUGAUCACCAAGUGGAAAUGCCUUGGAGUCCCGGGGUUAAGGCUCCUCUCUCAGAGCUGCAGGGUCGGGUUUGGGUUGGUUUUCAUCAGUAGAGGGAGGGCACUAAUUUCGUAUCUCCAACUAUAUAGCAAGUGCUAGGGUGGGACACUUGAGAAGUAGGCUGUAUCCAGAUAAGAAGCUGUUACCCGCAGAAGUUGGCUGGUAAUUAUGGUAUUUGGAAAAUACGCUGUCUUAUUAAUGAAAUUGUGCUGUGAUAAACAUUUUGCCUUUAUCACCCUAUUUCAUUUUAAAAUAAUUGUGUAAAUUAUGUUCUGUAGGAGUCAAUAUUUUUUCAUUUACAGAUGUGGAAGUAAAUCCACACACGGAGGGGGCUCUGUGUGUAUCUAAGAGCUCAUGUCUAGGAUGAGUGAACCCUGGUAUCUAGCCCUGUGCUUCUCAUCACCGGCUCCGACUGCUCCCUAAGCCAACUCCAGUACAAAGCUGGAUGUGUCUAGUGUUUUUUUUCAGAGCCCACUUUCCGUAGUAAGAGCAUGUGUGGUUUUGCUGCACUCCAGCACUCAUCUGAAAAUACGGGGAAAACUAGGGUCCAGGCACAUUAAUUUUCAGGUACUUCUGACAUUUAACAUAUUUGUUCUGUCUUUCUAUUACUCCUUGUCUAAGGUUCCAUUUGUUUGCUUGUAAUACAAUUUAUGAGGCUUAUUUGAAAGAUAAUGCAUUUCACAUAUUUAAAAUGUACAAUUAAUAAACAUGAUAGAACUGUCAUCAUUAUCAAGAAAGUGUACAUGGGAAUUCUUCUCAACAUUUCCUCUUGUUCAGCUAUAUUCCUCCUCCUUUCCCCUUCCCUUCUUCUACCAGUUUCCCGGGCAACUACUGAUCUUCAUUAUUUUAUGUUAGAUGCAUUUUUAUUUAUCAGGAUUUAUAACAAUGAAAUAACAUAGUAUACUUACUGGUUUAGCUUAUUUUACUCAACACAAAUACUUAGAUAUUUUAGCUUUUUCUUGUGUGUAUCAGGCAUUUAUUUAUUAUAAAUGAUAGGUAGUAUUACAGUGAACACAUUUAUCGUAAUUUGUUUUCGUAUUAAGCACCUUAACAAUAUUUGCAUUUUUUAAUUAUACUUUAAGUUCUAAGGUACAUGUCCAUAAUGUGCAGGUUUGUUACAUAUGUAUACAUGUGCCAUGUUGGUGUGCUGCACCCAUUAACUCGUCAUUUAUGUUAGGUAUAUCUCCUAAUGCUUUCCCUCCCCCUCCCCCAACCCCACAACAGGCCCCAGUGUGUGAUGUUCCCCUUCCUGUGUCCAAGUUUUUUCAUUGUUCAAUUCCCACCUAUGAGUGAGAACACGCAGUGUUUGGUUUUUUGUUCUUGUGAUAGUUUGCUGAGAAUGAUGGUUUCCAGCUUCAUUCAUGUCCCUACAAAGGACGUGAACUCAUCCUUUUUUGUGGCUGCAUAGUAUUCCAUGGUGUAUAUGUGCCACAUUUUCUUAAUCCAGUCUAUCAUUGAUGGACAUUUGGGUUGGUUCCAAGUCUUUGCUAUUGUGAAUAGUACCGCAAUAAACAUACAUUUGCAUGUGCCUUUAUAGCAGCAUGAUUUAUAAUCCUUUGGGUAUAUACCCAGUAAUGGGAUGGCUGGGUCAAAUGGUAUUUCUAGUUCUAGAUCCUUGAGGAAUCGCCACACAGUCUUCCACAAUGGUUGAACUAGUUUACAGCCCCACCAACAGUGUAAAAGCCUUCCUGUUUCUCCACAUCCUCUCCAGCACCUGUUGUUUCCUGACUUUUUAAUGAUCACCAUUCUAACUUGUGUGAGAUGGUAUCUCAUUGUAGUUUUGAUUUGCAUUUCUCUGAUGGCCAGUGAUGAUGAGCAUUUUUUCAUGUGUCUUUUGGCUGCAUAAAUGUCUUCUUUUGAGAAGUGUCUCUUCAUAUCCUUUGGCCAAUUUUUGAUGGGGUUGUUUUUUUCUUGUAAAUUUGAGUUCUUUGUAGAUUCUGGAUAUUAGCCCUUUGUCAAAUGGGUAGAUUGCAAAACUUUUCUCCCAUUCUGUAGGUUGCCUGUUCACUCUGAUGGUAGUUUCUUUUGCUGUGCAGAACCCCUUUAGUUUAAUUAGAUCCCGUUUGUCAAUUUUGGCUUUUGUUGCCAUUGCUUUUGGUGUUCUAGACAUGAAGUCCUUGCCCAUGCCUAUGUCCUGAAUGGUAUUGCCUAGGUUUUCUUCUAGGGUUUUUAUGGUUUUAGGUCUAAUAUUUAAGUCUUUAAUCCAUCUUGAAUUCAUGUUUGUAUAAGGUGUAAGGAAGGGAUCCAGUUUCAGCUUUCUACAUAUGGCUAGACAGUUUUCCCAGCACCAUUUAUUAAAUAAGGAAUCCUUUCCCCAUUUCUUCUUUUUGUCAGGUUUGUCAAAGAUCAGGUGGUUGUAGAUGUGUGGUAUUAUUUCUGAGGGCUGUGUUCUGUUCCAUUGGUCUAUAUCUCUGUUUUGGUACCAGUACCGUGCUGUUUUGGUUACUGCAGCCUUGUAGUAUAGUUUGAAGUCAGGUAGCGUGAUGCCUCCAGCUUUGUUCUUUUGGCUUAGGAUUGUCUUGGCAAUGUGGGCUCUUUUUUGGUUCCAUAUGCACUUUAGUUUUUUCCAAUUCUGUGGAGAAAGUCAUUGUUAGCUUGAUGGGGAUGGCAUUGAAUCUAUAAAUUACCUUGGGCAGUAUGGCCAUUUUCACAAUAUUGAUUCUUCCUAUCCAUGAGCAUGGAAUGUUCUUCCAUUUGUUUGUAUCCUCUUUUAUUUCAUUGAGCAGUGGUUUGUAGUUCUUCUUGAAGAGGUCCUUCACAUCCCUUGUAAGUUGGAAACCUAGGUAUUUUAUUCUCUUUGAAGCAAUUGUGAAUGGGAGUUCACUCAUGAUUUGGCUCUCUGUUUGUUAUUGGUGUAUAAGAAUGCUUGUGAUUUUUGCACAUUGAUUUUGUAUCCUGAGACUUUGCUGAAGUUGCUUAUCAGCUUAAGGAGAUUUUGGGCUGAGAUGAUGGGGUUUUCUAAAUAUACAAUCAUGUCAUCUGCAAACGGACAAUUUGACUUCCUCUUUUCUUAGUUGAAUACCCUUUAUUUCUUUCUCCUGCCUGAUUGUCCUGGCCAGAACUUCCAACACUAUGUUGAAUAGGAGUGGUGAGAGAGGGCAUCCCUGUCUUGUGCCAGUUUUCAAAGGGAAUGCUUCCAGUUUUUGCCCAUUCAGUAUGAUAUUGGCUGUGGGUUUGUCAUAAAUAGCUCUUAUUAUUUUGAGAUACGUCCCAUCAUUACCUAAUUUAUUGACAGUUUUUAGCAUGAAGGGCUGUUGAAUUUUGUCAAAGGCCUUUUCUGCAUCUAUUGAGAUAAUCAUGUGGUUUUAGUCUUUGGUACUGUUUAUAUGCUGGAUUACGUUUAUUGAUUUGCAUAUAUUGAACCAGCCUUGCAUCCCAGGGAUGAAGCCCACUUGAUCAUGGUGGAUAAGCUUUCUGAUGUGCUGCUGGAUUCGGUUUGCCAGUAUUUUAUUGAGGAUUUUCGCAUCAAUAUUCAUCAGGGACAUUGGUCUAAAAUUCUCUUUUUUUGUUGUGUCUCUGCCAGGCUUUGGUAUCAGGAUGAUGUUGGCCUCAUAAAAUGAAUUAGGGAGGAUUCCCUCUUUUUCUAUUGAUUGGAAUAGUUUCAGAAGGAAUGGUACCAACUCCUCCUUGUAUCUCUGGUAGAAUUCAGCUGUAAAUCCCCUGGACUUUUUUUGGUUGGUAGGCUAUUAUUGCCUCAAUUUCAUAGCCUGUUAUUGAUCUAUUCAGGGAUUAAAGUUCUUUCUGGUUUAGUCUUGGGAGGGUGUAUGUGUCCAGGAAUUUAUCCAUUUCUUCUAGAUUUUCUAGUUUAUUUGCAUAGAGGUGUUUAUAGUAUUCUCUGAUGGUAGUUUGUAUUUCUGUGGGGUCGGUGGUGAUAUCCCCUUUAUUAUUAUUUACUGCACAUAUUUGAUUCUUGUCUCUUUUCUUCUUUAUUAGUCUUGCUAGCAGUCUAUCGAUUUUGCUGAUCUUUUCAUAAAACCAACUCCUGGAUUCAUUGAUUUUUUUUGAAGGGUUUUUUGUGUCUCUAUCUCCUUCAGUUCUUCUCUGAUCUUAGUUAUUUCUUGCCUUCUGCUAGCUUUUGAAUGUGUUUGCUCUUGCUUCUCUAGUUCUUUUAAUUGUGAUGUUGGGGUGUCAAUUUUAGAUCUUUCCUGCUUUGUCUUGUGGGCAUUUUGUGCUAUAAAUUUUCCUCUACACACUGCUUUGAAUGCGUCCCAGAGAUUCUGGUAUUUUGUGUCUUUGUUCUCAUUGUUUUCAAAGAACAUCUAUAUUUUUGUCUUCAUUUCGUUAUUUACCCAGUAGUCAUUCAGGAGCAGGUUGUUCAGUUUCCAUGUAUUUGUGCUGUUUUGAGUGAGUUUCUUAAUCCUGAGUUCUAGUUAGAUUGCACUGUGGUCUGAGAGAGAGUUGGUUAUAAUUUCUGUUCUUUUACAUUUGCUGAGGAGUCCUUUACUUCCAACUAUGUGGUCAAUUUUGGAAUAAGUGUGAUGUGGUGCUGAGAAGA
rnacentral:lncRNA from 1 species